rnacentral:rRNA from 1 species
CUACGGGCUGCUGCAGUGGGGAAUUUUGCACAAUGGGGGAAACCCUGAUGCAGCGACGCCGCGUGCGGGAAGAAGGCCUUAGGGUUGUAAACCGCUUUCAAUUGUGAAGAAGGGAUGAGAGUUAAUAGCUUUCUGACUUGACGGUAGCAUUAGAAGAAGCACCGGCUAAUUUCGUGCCAGCAGCCGCGGUAAUACGAAAGGUGCAAGCGUUGUUCGGAUUUACUGGGCGUAAAGAGAUCGUAGGUGGUUUAUUAAGUCGGAUGUGAAGUCCCGGAGCUCAACUUCGGAACUGCAUUCGAUACUGGUAGGCUAGAGUUCGGGAGGGGAAAGCGGAAUUCCGUGUGUAGCAGUGAAAUGCGUAGAUAUACGGAGGAACACCUGAGGCGAAGGCGGCUUUCUGGACCGAUACUGACACUGAGGAUCGAAAGCGUGGGUAGCAAACAGGAUUAGAUACCCCCGUAGUC